GAUGAAGAACGUAGCGAAAUGCGAUACGUAAUGUGAAUUGCAGAAUUCAGUGAAUCAUCGAGUCUUUGAACGCACAUUGCGCCCCCUGGUAUUCCGGGGGGCAUGCCUGUCCGAGCGUCAUUGCUGCCCUCAAGCCCGGCUUGUGUGUUGGGUCUCGUCCCCCUUCCCGGGGGGACGGGCCCGAAAGGCAGCGGCGGCACCGCGUCCGGUCCUCGAGCGUAUGGGGCUUUGUCACCCGCUCUGUAGGCCCGGCCGGCGCUUGCCGAUCAACCAAAACUUUUUUCCAGGUUGACCUCGGAUCAGGUAGGGAUACCCGCUGAACUUAAGCAUAUCAAUAAGCAGAGGA
rnacentral:misc_RNA from 1 species